rnacentral:rRNA from 1 species
UAUCCUACGGGGCGCAGCAGUGGGGGAUAUUGCACAAUGGGGGCAACCCUGAUGCAGCGACGCCGCGUGAGCGAUGGAGUACUUCGGUAUGUAAAGCUCUGUCAGCAGGGAAGAGAAUGACGGUACCUGACCAAGAAGCCCCGGCUAAAUACGUGCCAGCAGCCGCGGUAAUACGUAUGGGGCAAGCGUUAUCCGGAUUUACUGGGUGUAAAGGGAGCGUAGGCGGCAGGGCAAGCCUGAUGUGAAAGCCUUCGGCUUAACCGGAGUAGUGCAUUGGAAACUGGGAGACUUGAGUGCAGAAGAGG